ACGGGAGGCAGCAGUGGGGAAUAUUGGGCAAUGGGCGAAAGCCUGACCCAGCAACGCCGCGUGAAGGAUGAAGGUCUUCGGAUUGUAAACUUCUUUGAUUGGGGAGGAAUAAAUGACCUACCCAAAGAACAAGCCACGGCUAACUACGUGCCAGCAGCCGCGGUAAUACGUAGGUGGCAAGCGUUAUCCGGAUUUACUGGGUGUAAAGGGCGUGUAGGCGGCUCUGCAAGUCAGAAGUGAAAUUCCCGGGCUUAACUUGGGCGCUGCUUCUGAAACUGCUUAACUUGAGUACUGGAGAGGAUAGUGGAAUUCCUAGUGUAGCGGUAAAAUGCACAGAUAUUAGGAGGAACACCGGUGGCGAAGGCGGCUAUCUGGACAGUAACUGACGCUGAGGCGCGAAAGCACGGGGAGCAAACAGGAUUAGAUACCCUGGUA
rnacentral:rRNA from 1 species